GAAAAGAGGGAGGAAAAGUGACUGGAAAUCGUGGCAGCAGCACCCCAGGACAUGUAAAGGUCUCUGCCUGCCUCCAAGUCCACCCUACCGGCUGCUGCUGCUGGAGGAGUCCUUGGGGGCUGCCCCAGUGCUGUUAAGUGAGUAAUAGAAAGGAAAGUGUGUGAAGAGGGCACCUCUCCUGCCUGGAUUGCGAAGGGAAAGGCUGUGGGUUGUGUGCACUUACCUCUCUGUGUGUCUGUGUGUGUGUAUGUUUCAGUGGCCAGUCAGUGUUUCUCUAUGUGAAAGUGAAGAGAAGAGCACUCAGCAGAGCCUCGGUUUUCACCGUACACUGCUCCACAUACAGUACAUGCAACCCGGAGAGACUGAAAACAUUCAUUUUUAUAUAAGGCAGCCUGCGAUUGGCUCAGGGACUGAGGGACAGGUUUGCCAGCCAUACAGCUGGCCUGUUACACCCAAAGAGCGAGAGACUCGCACGCACACACACACUCAUAUGCACACACUCACACACAAAGAUCAUCUCGUUUCUUUUACUAAUGUUUCAGGACCUGUAGACAGCCUAGCAGGGCAGGUAGAAGGACCAGCAAACUCAGACCUUCACAAACAAAACAACAGUAUGACACCAGCAACUUUUGGUGUAACUGCAUCACUGUUGCAAUUGAGCCUCGAAAAACCUGCUGACACGUCUUACAACUAUGAAAAGCUCCUUUUUCUGUUUAAAUUAAACAAAAUAAUUGUAAGGAAAACAUUCUCUGUAACCUGAUUCACCGUAUUAUUGUUCAUUAUGU
ensembl:lncRNA